rnacentral:rRNA from 1 species
AGAAUCAACGCUGGCGGCGUGCCUCAGACAUGCAAGUCGAACGAUUAAAGCUCUCUUCGGAGAGUGUAUAGAGUGGCGCACGGGUGAGUAACACGUAAGUAAUCUACCCUCGGGUGGGGAAUAACAUCGGGAAACCGAUGCUAAUACCGCAUAAUGCAGCGGCUCCUAAUGGAGACAGUUGUUAAAAGGAUUUAUUCGCCUGAGGAGGAGCUUGCGGCAGAUUAGCUAGUUGGUAAGGUAAUGGCUUACCAAGGCUACGAUCUGUAGCCGGUCUAAGAGGACGGUCGGUCACACUGACACUGAAUAACGGGUCAGACUCCUACGGGAGGCAGCAGUCGGGAAUUUUGGGCAAUGGGCGAAAGCCUGACCCAGCAACGCCGCGUGAAGGAUGAAGUAUUUCGGUAUGUAAACUUCGAAAGAAUAGGAAGAAUCAAUGACGGUACUAUUUAUAAGGUCCGGCUAACUACGUGCCAGCAGCCGC